GUAUUGUAUUGCGUUAAACGCGGCAUACAUUCCAUAAGACUUUAUUGUGGUGUGUGUGUGUAAAGACGUAGGACCACAGCAAGGGGACAGAGUCUCCAAGGCCAUAGAACUACAGAGGGUGCACAGGUGUGAGUGGAUGUGUAAACAGAGCGUGCACGUGCCCCCUUUUGAGGGCCAGCAACAACUCUUGUUGACAAUUCGGUAAUGAUCCUUCCGCAGGUUCACCUACGGAAA
rnacentral:misc_RNA from 1 species